UAGGGAAUCUUCCGCAAUGGGCGAAAGCCUGACGGAGCAACGCCGCGUGAGUGAUGAAGGUCUUCGGAUCGUAAAACUCUGUUAUUAGGGAAGAACAAAUGUGUUAGUAACUAUGCACGUCUUGACGGUACCUAAUCAGAAAGCCACGGCUAUCUACGUGCCAGCAGCCGCGGUCAUACGUAGGUGGCAAGCGUUAUCCGGAAUUAUUGGGCGUAAAGCGCGCGUAGGCGGUUUUUUAAGUCUGAUGUGAAAGCCCACGGCACAACCGAGGAGGGUCAUUGGAAACAGGAAAACUGGAGUGCAGAAGGGGAAAGUGGAAUUCCAUGUGUAGCGGUGAAAUGCGCAGAGAUAGGGAGGAACACAAGUGGCGAAGGAGACUUUCGGGUCUGUAACGAACGAUGAUGAGCGAAAGCGUGGGGAUCAAACAGG
rnacentral:rRNA from 1 species